rnacentral:lncRNA from 1 species
AAAGGAGACAACAUUUAUGAAUGGAGGUCAACUAUACUGGGGCCUCCAGGGUCAGUAUAUGAAGGUGGAGUUUUCUUCCUUGACAUUACCUUUUCACCGGACUAUCCUUUUAAACCACCUAAGGUAACAUUCCGGACAAGGAUCUAUCACUGUAACAUUAACAGCCAAGGCGUUAUCUGCCUGGACAUUUUAAAAGACAACUGGAGUCCAGCAUUAACCAUUUCUAAAGUUCUCCUCUCCAUCUGCUCCCUCCUCACAGACUGCAACCCGGAAACAUCUGCCAAAUUUCUAGCUUUAACUGAUGCGUG